AGUGGACUUCUUGUAAGAACAGGAGCAGGUUUUCAAUAGGACGCCUGGACCUGACCUCAGCCUGCAGAGUGAGAGCUCAGUUUCACUUCCAAGGACCCGGAUGUGGAAGUUCUCACAGGUUUCCCAGCAAUUUAGACAGCGUAAAAGUAGAGGCAAGCCAUGCAGAGUUUGCUGAGCUGGCUUUUCCUCAUGAUAGCCCACCCUCGUUUCUCCAGGGUGUUCCCUUUAUUGUGCUUUUUCUGCUUUUAUUUUGCCCAGGCUCACUCCGCAGAGCCAGUUUUUCCAUCACUUUUACUUUCUUUGAUAAACUUUGCCACUGCUUUUUGCUCUUUUCUUUCAAUUCUAAAUGAGAAGAACCUGGAAUCUAACUCCAGAAGGAGAGGCGAACAACCCGGAACUCGGAGCUGGAUUUUUUUCCUAGACCCCCGUGCCCAGACUUAAGAGAUAUGACAAAGGAUCCAAACCGGGUUGCUAG
rnacentral:lncRNA from 1 species